CCCGCGCUCCUCCGGGCAGAGCGCGUGUGGCGGCCGAGCACAUGGGCCCGCGGGCCGGGCGGGCUCGGGGCGGCCGGGACGAGGAGGGGCGACGACGAGCUGCGAGCAAAGAUGUGCCCCGGGACCCCCGGCACCUUCCAGUGGAUUUCCUUGCGGAAAGGAUGUUGGCGGUCCCUGUGACCUGUGGAGACACGGCCAGAUCUGCCCUCCAGCCUGAUCUUUUGGCCAGAAGGAGAUUAAAAAGAUGCCCCUCAAGAUGGCUGUGCCUGUCAGCUGCAUGGAGCUUCGUUCAAGUAUUUUCUGAGCCUGAUGGAUUUACAGUGAUCUUCAGUGGUCUGGGGAAUAACGCUGGUGGAACCAUGCACUGGAAUGACACACGCCCGGCACAUUUCAGGAUACUAAAAGUGGUUUUAAGGGAGGCUGUGGCUGAAUGCCUCAUGGAUUCUUACAGCUUGGAUGUCCAUGGGGGACGAAGGACUGCAGCUGGCUGAGAGGGUUGAGAUCUCUGUUUACUUAGAUCUCUGCCAACUUCCUUUGGGUCUCCCUAUGGAAUGUAAGACCCCGACUCUUCCUGGUGAAGCAUCUGAUGCACGUUCCAUCCGGCGCUCAGCUGGGCUUGAGCUGACCAUACUCCCUGGAGCCUUCUCCCGAGGUGCGCGGGUGACCUUGGCACAUACAGCCAUCAUGAUGGUACUUUAAGUGGAGGCUGAAUCAUCUCCCCUUUGAGCUGCUUGGCACGUGGCUCCCUUGGUGUUCCCCUUUUACUGCCAGGACACUGAGAUUUGGAGAGAAUCCUGUUACACCUGGGAUUUAGGCACUUUCAAUCUGAAAAAAUACAUAUCCUUUCAGCACUCUGGACGGACUUGAGAACUGUCCUUACGUGACCUAAAGCUGGAGUAUUUUGAGAUUGGAGAAUUAAGAGUGUGGGCACCCUGGCUUCAAGCUCACGAGAAACCAGAAGGAAGUCACUGUGCAUAGCCAUCCCCUAAGAAGAGGGCAUUCCUGCUCUUCCUUCUCCAUGGCUAGAGGAUCUACAUGAACUAUUUAGAUUUUUUCUACCUGGGAGAUUUAACUCCUCUCUCCUAUUUAUUUAUUUAUAUAUCAGCAUGGACUUGCAGGCCAACAGAGAUUUUGAGAAACACAUUGAAGGAUCUGUUAACACUUGAUAUACCCAAUAAAAGCAGUGGUUGUGCCAGUGCUGAUCUGUCUUGAUGUGAAUGUGAACAAUGGGAACCUGAGCUGAGCAGUUAAUGCUAGGGUGACAGAAACUGGACCUCUCCCAAGACAUGUGACAGAGUAAUACAGCAGCCAACUUCUUCGCCAAAUUAAAGUUUUACAAGAUUUAACCUGUCAUCAAGACCUGGGAUUUUGGUGAGCCAGUCUUGGUGCUCUGUGUUCACCUGGUUCAUCUGAGGAGCUGCAUCUACCCUGCCCAUGCCAUAGAUCCUGCCCUGUUUGCUUCUCCUGUUGCUGCUAGUGGACAUGAGAAGGACAGAAUAACGGGCUCCCAGAUUCACAAGCCCCACCAAGAGGAUCACCCCAGGAACGCUUGGAGGCUGAGGAGUUCACUGAGGCUACUGCAUCUUGAGACUCAGGAUGAAGACCCAGCUUGGGGCUGUCAAAGGUUUUUUGCAUGUCUGACACCCAUGACUCCACCUGGACCUUAUGGCUCCACCCAGAAGCAAUUCAGCCCAACAGGAGGACAGCUUCAACCCAUUACGAUUUCAUCUCUGCCCCAACCACUCAGCAGCAAGCACCUGUUACCUGUCCACCCCCACCCCUUCCCCCAAACUGCCUUUGAAAAAUCCCUAACCUAUGAGCUUUGAAUAAGAUGAGUACGAACUUCAUCGCCCACGUGGCGUGGCCGGCCUCGUGUCUAUUAAAUUCUUUUUCUACUACAA
rnacentral:lncRNA from 1 species